GACAGGAAACGGAAGGAGAGAAGAACAACACGAGGCAGAAAAAAGGGUUAUGUUAGAGAGAGAGAGAAAGAAAGAAAAUGUAACUUUGGACGCACACCGGGUUAUGUAACAGCAAAGGUUAAGAGACACAGAAAGUGACUUAAGAGUUGUUGCUGAAACUGUUAGUUUUGAGGACUUGUGGAGACUGGCUCAGACUCUACAACGCGCGCUGUUGGCAGGUCAGCCAGCUGAAGCAUCUUUAAACGGUAGCCAGCACGGUUGCUGUAUGAACUGCUAACGGAGCCGAAGCGGAAAAAACACCAUUGCCGUCCUCAUCCUCGUCUUCUAUGGCACGGACAUCGCUUUCCAAACCCACGGACAAUGCUUUAAUCGGGAAAAUUCGACCAGACCUGCACCUAAGAACUCUAACAUAGGGUUGGGGGUUAGGUGCCUUGCUCAAGGGCACUUUAGCCAUGAUACAGAGGGAGAGGAAGUAUUGUUCAUUUGCUCAACUCUCCUCACGUUUUUCCUGCCAGUCCCGGGAAUUAAACCGGUGACCUUUGGACCCAAGGCUGCUUCUCUAACCUUCAGGCCACAGCUGUCCCCAGAGCUCUGUGAACUUGUUACGAAUUAAAAUGAAUUGUGUAUUCAUAUUUCUUCUGUUACAUAUGAAAAGUAUUAUGUAAUCUACUACAGUAUAUUGCAUUAUAUUACAUAUUAAACAUAAUUGUAGUAUAA